CCGGGAAAGGGAAUAACACUCGAAAUGUAUAUAAGAAAUACUCAAGUUAAUAAAAAAAAAUAUUUGAGAGGUAUCUGUAAAAUUCUUGAAGUCAGAAGUAUUUUUUCAGCAAUUUUUAAACUUCUCCAGUAUUGACAGAAGAUUCUGAGAGACUGAUGUGUAGUAGCACUGCCUGUUUAAUGGUGGUCACCCCCUUCUCUCAGGAUGGCCUGAAUUGAUAUAUUACAAUAUUUAUCUGCUCAGUCCUAUAUUGAAGCAAAUUUAGACACAAUGAUAUCUUCUGAUAGUUCUGCCAUGGGAUAGAAAGCUGCAUAUUUCCAUAUGAUUUAAAAGUCACCCUGAUAUUUUUGCAAAAUGUUUGAUUCCAUGAUUUUAUAGUGCACAGUACAGAUUGUCCAAAUACAAAGCACAUUUAGUAAUUCUGUAUUCAUUGCCAUUUCCAAUGUAUCUAUGUAAAGGAUAUUACUAAAUCAAUAUAUUUAUGCUUAUUGGAAAAUAAUUGAAUUUAUGAACAUUUAAAUCAGCAGCCACUUUACAUUUUUGUUCUUUCAUUUACAUUUUCAGCACCCAUCUAAAUUGCCAAUUAUUAAAGUAGCAUAGAAGAUCCUGAGUGAUGUUUCUUCUUGUAAAAGCAAGAGCCUCUCUGCAAUAUUAUUUCCCAGAUUCAUAUCAGUAAUCUCAAAUCUUCAUGGAAUUGCUGAUCUGCAGACAUAUACAGUUUUUGGUACCUACGUACACAUAUGUACACAAACACACACACACACACACACACACACACACACACACACACACACAGAGAGAGAGAGAGAGAGAGAGAGAGAGAGAGAGAGAGAGAGAGAAAGUGAGAGAGAGAGAGAGAGAGAGAGAGAGAGAGGACAAACUGAGACUGAAACAGAAAUAGAGACUGAGUCAUAGAGAAAAAGAUGGAGACAGAAAGUGAAAUAUAUACACACAACUAAAUAUAAUAAAAUGGAGCUAAAAUUGUGGCACAUGACAUUUUUUUCUAGCAGUUAUGAGGCAGAAGCUAGUAAAUUUCUGAAUUCAAACCGGUUCAGCAAAUUCUAACCAGUAAGACUCUGAUAAAAAGAUCCAAGAAAACAAACAAAUAUAUAAGUAUCUCAUAGCAAAAUUUUUUAAAUCUGAAGAUAAAUUUCAUCACUGAAUGAUAAACCAAUACUUUCAUUAAACAAUGAAUAUUAUGUUCAUUCUAAGAAUUUCAUUUACAUGGACACUUAGGAAAUUUUAAAAAUACACCUGAUCAAGUAAAACUGAUUAAUGAAGAACAUAUUAAAGGCAGCAUCUUUAAAUUUUACAUUUCUCCUGAUAUUACAAGUAUCUUGUGCUUUUGUACAUUGUCUAGUUUCUGUCACAUUUUUUUCCUAAACUGUCUUUCUUUCCUUUGUAUAGGGAUCUGAAAGCAAAUACAAAACAUUAUUCUGUAGUCACCAUUGCCCAGAAAGCAACUUGAAUUUAUCCCUGAUCAAUUUAUGCAGGGGUUUAUGAAGACCCUCCGUUUUCAUAUUGGCAAUAUAACAGCUUAAAACUCAUGGCCACCUCCCUUGUGUCAUUAGCAUUAGAAAAGAUUUUCAAACGCUGCAGCCUGGCAACCAUGCACACAUGCGUGAUUGUAGGGUUAUGCUAGCUCACUAGCACAGACUGUGGUUUGAAAGUGUGAUUAAUUAAGUCAGUGCAGCAGAUCCUGCUGGGAGAAGAGGCAGCCAAAGAUGCCUGUCCCAUACACCCUAGAAAUGCUAAGCAAUGCAAUGCAGCAACAAGGUCAGCUCCCAGAUAGCCCCAUAAUUUGUUUCAUAGGUAGACAUGAUUUUUUUUUCAUAUCAAGGAUUGCAAAUUUGUUGGGAAUAGAAUAUUAUGCUCUACAUAUCAAGUCUUUGGCUGUGGAAAACCUGAUCACAUCAGGACCUGUCUUCUUUUGUCCUGUCCCUGUGUGGGCUGCAAUGCCCCUCCCCUUGAGCCUUCAAUCUGUCCUGCCACAGUUCAGUCCUUUUACAGCAUAAAUAUAAACAGAUCAAAGAGCUGAAAGGAUUGUUGAUUAUUCAUGUGUGGGCGUAAGGACAGACAGAAAAAAGAACAGUUAUAUUGGUAUACAGAUGUUGGAUAAAAACAAUAUUUCUAAGGGAAUUUAAGUUAGGUUCUGCCAUGCCCUGCUGGAUGGGAAGGUAUACAAGCACUUGAGGACUUUCUGAACUUUUGGAUUAAAGUCCACUUAUCAGUGAGUACAUACCAUAUGUGUUCUUUUUGUCUGGGUUACCUCAUUCAGAAUUUUUUCUAGUUCCAUUUAUUGGCCUGCAAAUUUCAUGAAGUCAAUGCUUUUAAAAACUAAGUAGUACUCCAUUGUGUAAAUGUACCACAUUUUCACUUUUUAAAUCAUUUUUCUUGGAUGUUUUUAAAUUAUGUUUCAAAUGAUAUCCUCUUUCAUGGGUUUCCAAUACAUAAGCCAUAUAUACCUUUCCCCCUCCCCCUUCUUCUAUGGGUGUGAUCCCCCACCCAUCCACUUGCUCCUUUCUGCAUCCCCAACUGGCAUCCCCUGCAAUGGGAUGUCCAGCCUAUGCAGGACCAAGGACUUCUCCACCCAUUGGUGCUUAACAUGGGUAGUCUCUGCUAAAUAUGAGGCUGGAGCUGUGGGUCUUCCCAUGCGUAUUCUUUGAAUAUUAGUUUACACCCUAGGAUCUCUGUUUGGUUGGUAUUGCUUUUCUUAUGGGGUUGCAAAUCCCUUCAGCUCCUUCAAUCCUUUCUCUAACUCCUCCAAUGCAUACCCAGUUCUCAGUUCAAUCGUUGUAUGAGAUCAUUCACCUCUAAAUGUGUCAUGCUCUUGCACAGUCUCUCAGAAGACAGCUAUAUCAGGCUACUCUCAGCAUACACAUCUUGGAAUAAGCAAUAUUGUCUGGGUUUGGUGGCUGUAUGUAUAUGGGCUGAAUCUCUAGGUGAGCCACCCUCUUAAUGCCCAUUUCUUCAGUCUCUGCUCUAAAAUUUCUCUCUGUAUCUACAUCAAUGAAUAUUUUCAUUCCCCUUUCUAAGAAGGUUUGACACAUCCGCACUUUGGCCGUCUUUCUUCUUGAGCUUCACUGGGUCUGUGGAUUUUAUCUUGGGAAAUCCUAGAUUUUGGGCUAAUAUCCACUUAUCAGUGAGUGCACACCAUAUGUGUGUCUGUUUUUUGAUGGGAUUGUCACACUCAGGAUGAUAUUUCUAGUUCUGUCCAUUUGCAUAUGGAUUCCAUUAAGUCAUUGUUUUUAAUAGCUGAAUAGUAUAUGUAUGACAUAUUGGUAAUACUUUGCUGUGUUGCAGGAUAUCUGGAUUGUUUCAUGUUUCUGGCUGUUAUAAAUAAGGCUGCUAUCUUCAUAGAGAAGCACUUGUCCCAUACAUCAUUUUUAUUACUUUUACUUGGUUCUCUGGAGUCUAUCCUGUUGAAAUUUUGUAUAUUUUGAAUAUUAACCCACUAUAUGAUGUAGGGUUGCUAAAUAUCUUUUCCAAUCUUUGGGUUGCAAUUUUGUCCUACUGACAGUGUUCUUUGCCUUACAGAAUCUUUUCAAUUUUAUGAGGUGCCAUUUAUCAAUUCUUGAUCUUAGAGCAUGAGUCAUUGGUGUUCUGUCCAGGUAAUUUUCCCUGUGAAAAUGUGUUUGGUGUUAUUUCCCAACUCACAAACCAUAUUCAGCUGAAAAAGAAGGAAGAGCAAGUUCCAGAUCUUUCAUUUUUACAUAGAAUGGGAAGCAAAAUAAUCACAAGUAUAGAAGGAAGGAAGGGCCUGUGAGAGAAAGAUAAGGGGUAGGACUUUUUAUGGAAAUGGACAGAAAAGAAGUACACAUGGUUAGAAAAUUGAGUAGGAACAUGUAACAGUUGGGGACAGGGAGUUGAGGGUACCCACUAGAAAAUCCCGGACUCCAGAGAUACAAGAGGCUCCAAUGGUGAUGGCUUUAUCCAAAAUACUACACAAGGGGAAAAUACAACCUGUAGAGACCAUCUACAGUAGAUAGACAUGGCCCCCAGUAGAAGGAGGGGGCCACCCAAUCAUCUCAAAAUGUUUAACCCAGAAAUGUUCCUGUUCAAAGGAAAGAAAGGGACCAAAAAGUGAAAUAGAGACAGAAAGGGCAUCCAGACUUGCCCAACAUAGGGAUCUAUCUCAUUUGCAGCCACCAAACCCUAACUCUAUUGCUGACAGAAGCCUGUUAAGACUGUUCCCUGAGAGAUUCUACCAGCAUCUGACCAAUAUAGAUGCAGAUACUCAGAGCCAACCUUCGGACUGAACCAAGGGACACAAAUCAAGAGCCACGGGAAGAACUGAAGGAAUUGACGGUGAUUGAAAGCCCAUGGGAAGAACAACAUCUACAAAUUAGACUACCCAGAGCUUCCAGAAAUGAAACCACCAAACAGCAUAUACAUGGAGGCUUCUAGCCCUCCAAAUAUAUAUGUGGCAGAGGAUGGCCUUAUCUGAUUUCAAUAGUAGGGAAGGCCUUUGAUCUGAUGGAGGCUUGAUGCCAUCGCAUAGUGUGAUGCUAGAGGAGUGAGGCAGGUGUAGAUUAGUGGGUACAGGAGCACUUCAUAGAGGAAAAGAAGAAGCGGGAGAGGGAGUAAGGAUGGGGUUUCAUAGAGGGAAAACUGCAAAAGGACAUAUCACUUAGUAUGUAAAUAACUAAAAUGAUUAAUAUUUUAAAAGGAGUACUUAAAAAAUAAAUACAACACCAUUUUGAAAUGAAAUACAAAAACACAAAUCCAAUAAGACCUGCCAAACAGUCAAACAAAAACAAAAGUAAGUCAUGACCUUGGAGAUUUAUCUGUCAGAGAAUGUCCAAAAAUAUGUAUGUGUAUGUGGACUUUCUGUUCUUAUUGCUAUUGAAGAGCAUCAUGGUCUAGUCAAUGGUGAUUAGAUAGAAAUUAAUUUUAAUACAAUAUAUCGUUAUUGCAGUUUCUUUUUGUGCUUCUGUCACCUACUCCCCAUCUAUCCUCCCCUCUAGGUCUGCCACUUUCUGUCUUCCACUAGAAAAGCACACCCAAAAGAAAAUGAAGAAUCAUAUUAAAAAGAAAUGUAUUAAAAUGAAAAAAAAAAACCUUCAUACUGUGGGUGGACAAGGCAACCAAACAGAAGGAAAUUUUGCAGAGGAGUGUUCACCAGAAUCACAGACCAACUUGUUUUCACACUCAGGAAUGCCAUAAAAACACUAAGCUGAAUGCUGUAAGAUAUGUACAGAGAACCCAGUGAAGACUACUGCAGGCUCUGGAACAGAGAAGUCCACUGAGGCAUGCCCUUUGCUUUUUUUUUUGUAUUUUCUUUUUCAUUUCAAAAUGUUGUAUGGUUUUAAGAUUUUUAAGGUAUUUCCAAUGUGGAAUCAUGUAGUGACUCAUGCAACCAGCACUCUGAAUGUUUCUGAAGGUUAUUUUUUUCUCAAGAAUUGUUAAUUAAUGCAGUUCUAGCAUAGUAGUACCAUAUCAUACACCUUUUGUUACUCUAGCUAUGUAGUAUAAUUUAAAUCUGGUAUGAUGAUACUACUUGCAACUUGGUUGUUAAGUGUUUUUUCUAUAGUGAGUCUUUCUUGUUUCCAUAUGAAGUUAUAUUUAUGUUUAAUUUUGGUGAAGUGUAUUGUUGAUUCUUAUAUUGAUUAUGAACAAUUACACAUGUUUUCUGGGAUUCUUUGACUUAUAACUUCUAUAAGUUAUAAAUUAUAGGAAUAAUUUCUAUAUUAAAUUCUAAAUUAAUCCUUGUCUGGCACUAACAUAUUCUUUAAUAACGCAUAUCUUCUUGGAUUAGUAUUUACACUAAACUAGAUUCUUCUGUUUGAAAGAUAAUGAAUAAAUAUAUAUGCAUUUACAUAUAAGUAAAUGCUUGUACUAUAUAUUAAAAUAAUAUAUAUGGUAUAUAUAGUAUUUAUAAAAUUAUAAGCAGUAAAUUUAUGAUUAUAAAAUGAAAUAUAAUAUACAUUAUAAUGCAUAACAAUCUCCAUACGUAGCUACUAAAUAUAGACUAGCAGUCCUUGAUUAGAGUAUGAAAAUAUGUAUAUAUUAUGAGUGUAUGUACACAUAAACAUGCAUAUGUAUAUGUAUGUAUAAACAACAUUAUAUAUAGUAUAUAAAGUAUACUUUAAAUAUAUUUGAUAUAUGUGAAAUAUAUCAGUAUAUACAACUUUAUAUAUGUAUUACAUGUGAAAAGUAUAUGUAUAUAUUUAUAUAAAUAUCUCCAUAUUCUAUGCAAUUAUAGCUUUUUAUUAUUUUUUUUUACACUUCAUGCAUUAACCCCUCCUGGCCCAGUCUCCCACAGUUCUUCAUCUCAUUGCUCUGCUCUCCUGUAUCUAAGAGAAUAUACCCACUCCCCAACCCCCCACCAGGCCUCCUCACUCCCUGGGCCCUAUAGACUCUUGAGGGUUAGGCAUGUCAUCUCUCACUGAGGCCAGAAGAGGCAUUCCUCUGCUGUAUAUGAGUCAGUUGCCUUAGACCAGCUCUGCUAUGCUACCUGUUACAUGUCUCAGUGUUUGAGAAAUCUCAGGGGUGCAGAUUAUUUGAGACUCCUGGUCUUCCUAUGGGGUAUCCAUCCUUCUUAACUUCCUCCAGCAUUCCCUAAUUCCACCACAUGAUGUCCAAUUUCAGUCCAUAGUUUGGAUAUAAAUAUCUGCUUCUGUCUUGGUCAGCUGCUUUUGGAGCCUCUUAGAAGACAGCUAUUCUAAGCUCCUGUCUAUAAGUACACCAUAGUAUCCAUAAUAGUGCCAGGCCUUGGAGCAUCCCCUUGUAAUGGAUCCCAAGUUGGGCUGGGCACUGCAUCACAUUUGCCAAAGGUUCUUCUCCAUUUUGUUCACUGCAGUUGUUUUAGACAGGACAAUUCUUGGUCAGAAAGUUCACUGUGACAUGGCCAGCUCAUCCCUUCACUUGAUACCCCGUAUAGGUUUUUUUUGUAUUUUAUAAUUAUAUAUGUAGUUUAUUAUGUAUUAGAAUACAUAUUAUAUUAUACAUAAUUAUAAAAUUUGAAGUCAUAUGUAAAGCAUAACUAUGAUAACGGACUCAUGUACUUCAUAUGAAAUAUAUGUAUAUGUGUGUGUGUGUGUGUGUGUGUGUGUGUGUGUGUGUUUCAUAAAGAUUUUUCAUACAUCCUAAGUUUUGCUUACACACUCCACUUUACUCAACUAUAAGACCUUUCCCCAUUCCUGAUUAAACAUUUGGCUGACAGUGUUCUUUCUACAUUAUUUUAUAUUACAUAUAAUCUAGUAUUCUUACUUGUUAUUCUGUAACAUAGUAUAAACUAGUAUAUAAGCUCCCAAAUAACUUCUAUAUGUCAUUUUACUUUAGUUUGACCUUGCUGUCAACCCCUAUUUUUCCAAACCUUGUCAUACCAAAAUCAACAUAGAAUUUCUCCCUCCAGAAAUCUCCUUUCUACUUACAUUUGCUAAAUAUUACACUCCUACUCCUCUCCAAAUGCAUUGCAUAUACCAAUGACUAAUUUUCAGAAUCAUAUUUUUCACAUGGCUUCUGUAAAACCUCGUAAAACAAAACGCAUCUAAUAUGGAGAGAACAGGGAGUAUUUGUCUUUUUUCAGAUUUGAAUGAGAUCACACACUGUUACUUUUUCUUUUGAUUUCCACCUAUCUGACUACAGAAUUAAUUUUUUUCCACUAAAUAUUAUUUAACUGUAUUUGAGAAACAUAUAUAUAUAUAUGUAAAGGAACUAUAUAAACAACAUUAUCAUAAUAAUUAUUCGCAUGUGUGUUACACAACAACCUCUAUAGGAUUCUUUAUUUACAUUUUUAAUUUUUUUAUUAGAUAUAUUUCUUUAUUUACAUUUCAAAUGUUAUUCCCUUUCCAGAUUUCCUGUCUAUAAGCGCUCAUCCCACUCUUCUCCCCCAUAUGGGUGUCCCCCCUCCAUCCACUCCCUUUACCAGCCACCCUACCAACAUUCCACUGCACUUGGGGUCCAACUUUGGAAGGAGCAAGGGCUUCCCAUUCUACUGGUGUCUGAACAAGGCUAUUCUCUGCUACAUAUGCUGUUGGAGCCCUGGGUCAGUCCAUGUAUAGUCUUUUGGUAUUGGGUUAGUCCUUGGAAGCUCUGGUUGUUUGGCAUUGUUGUUCUUAUGGGCUUGCAAGCCCCUUCAGUUCUUUAACCCUUCCUCUAGUUCCCCUCAAGGGAGUCCUGUUCUCAGUUCAGUGGUUUGAUGGUAGCAUUGACCUCUGUAUUCGACAUGCUCUAGAUGUGUCUCUCAAGAGACAUCUAUAUCCGGUGCCUUUCAGCAUACACUUUUUAUCUUCAUUAAUCUUAUCUAGUUUUGGUAGCUGUAUAUAUAUAUAUAUAUAUAUAUAUAUAUAUAUAUAUAUAUAUAUAUAUAUAUAUAUAUAUAUGGACCACAUGUGGGGCAGGCUCUGAAUGGUUGUUCCUUCAGUUGCUGCUCUAAACUUUGCCUCCAUAUCCCCACCUAUGGAUUUUUUUUUCGCCUUUUAAGAAGGAGUGGGGACAUCCACAUUUUGGUCAUCCUUCUUCUUGAGCUCCCUGUUGUCUGUGGAUUGCAUCUGGGGUAAUCUGAGCUUUGGGGCUCAUAUCCAUUUAUCAGUGAGUGCAUGCCCAGUGUGUUUUUCUGUGAUUGUGUUACCUCACUCAGGAUGAUAUUUUCUAGUUCAUCCCAUUUGCCUAUGAAUUUCAUGAAGUCAUUGUUUUUGAUAGCUGAGUAGUACUCCUUUAUGUAGAUUUACCACAUUUAAAAUCCAAUCCUCGUUGAAGGACAUCUGGGUUCUUUUCAGCUUCUGGCUAUUAUAAAUAAGGCUGCUAUGAACAUAGUGGAGCAUGUGUCUUUGUUGUAUGUUGGAGCAUCUUAUUUAUUUUCUAUUGGAUAUUUUUUAUAUAGCCACUUUCCCAGUUUCACAUCGACUAACAGGUAUCACAACACCCAACCCCCUUUGUCUAUGAGGGUGUUCACCAAAUCAUCCACACACCCUUCCAACCUCCAUGCAAUGGCAUUCCUUUACAGUGGGGAGUAAAACUUUGGCAGAACCAAGGGCUUCUUCUCCCAUUGGUUCCCAACAUGACAUCCUCUGUGAUAUAUGCAGCUGGAGCAGUGGAUUUGUUGAGUCUUUGCAUGGUGGUUUAUUCCCUGGGAGCACUGCUUAGUUGGUAUUGUUAUUCUUAUGGGGUUGCAAGUCCCUUUAGUUAAUGCUGUCCUUUCUCUAAAUCCUCCAAUGGGGACCCAGUUCUCAGUUCAGUGGUUGGCUUAGAGCAUUCACCUCUGUAUUUUUCAUACUCUUGGAGAGCCUCUCAGGAGAGAAUUGAAUGAGGCUCCUAUCAGUAUGCACUUCUGGGCACCAGCAAUAUUGUCUGGAUUUGGUGAAUGUACGGAUAUGGCCUGGAUCCCCAGAUGGGGCAGGCUCUGAAUGGCCAUUUCUUCAGUCUCUGCUCCUAACUUUGUCUCUGUAUCUACUCCUAUGAAUAUUUUUGUUCCCCUUUCAAAGUAGACUGAAGCAUCUCCACUUUUUUUCGCAUUCUUAGUGAGCUUCAUUUGGUCUGUGGAUAGAAUCUUGUGUAAUCCAAGCUUUUGAUCUAAUAUCCUCUUAUCAGUGAGUACAUUCCGUGUACAUGGUUUUUGUGAUGGGGUUAUUAAAUUAAGGGAUAUUUUGUAAUUCCAUCCAUUUGCUUAUGAAUUUUAUUAAGUCAUUGUUUUUAAUAGCUCAGUAGUACUCUAUUGUAUAAAUGUACCAUAUUUUCUGUAUCCAUUCCUCUGUUGAAGUACAUCUGGGUUCUUUCCAGCUUUGCCUAUAAUAAAAAAAAAGACUUCUAUGAACAAAGUGGAGCAUGGGCCUUGCUAUAUAUCUUUUGGGUAUAUGCUCAGGACUGGUAUAGCUUGGUCCUCAGCUAAUACUAUGUCCAAUUUUCUGAGAAACGUCCAGACUGAUUUCCAGAGUGAUGGAACCUGCUUGCUAACACACUAACAAUACUGGAGUGUUCCUCUUUUUUUUACAUCCUCACCUGAGUUUUUGAUCUGAGCCAUUGUGACUGAUAUGUGUGGAGGAUCUCAGUGUUGUUUUGAUUUGCAUUUCCCUGAUGACUAAGUAUGUUGAACAUUUCUUUAGGUCCUUCUCAGUCAUUCAAUAUUCUUCAGCUGAGAAUUCUUUAUUUAACUUUGUACCUCAUUUUCAAUAAGGUUAUUUGAUUCUCUGGUGUCUAACUUCUUGAGUUCUUUGUAUAGUGUGGAUAAUUAGCCCUCUACUUGAUGUAGGAUUGGUAAAGAUUUUUUUCCCAACCUCUUGGCUGCCGUUUUGUACCAAUGACACUGUCCUUAGACUUACAGAAGCUUUGCAAUUUUAUGAGGUCCCAAUUUUCAAGUCUUGAUCUUAGAGCAUAAGUCAUUGGUGUUCUGUUCAGGAAAAUUUCCCCAUUGCUCAUGUGUUCAAGUCUCUUCCCCAUUUUUUUUUCAAUUAGUUCGAGUGUAUCUCAUUUUAUGUGGAGGUUCCCGAUCAACUUGGAAUUGACUUUGUAAGAAUGGAUCGAUUUUCAUUCUUCUACAUGCUGACUUCCAGAUGAACCACCACCAUUUGUUGAAAAUAACAUCAUUUAUUGCACUGAAUGGUUUUUGUUCCUUUAGAAAAUCAAGGUACAAUAGGUGUGUGGGUUCAUUUCUGGGUCUUCAAUUCUAUUCCAUUGAUCUGCCUGCCUGUCUCUGUACCAAUUCCAUACAGUUUUCAUCAAUGUUGCUCUGAAAUACACCCGAUGUCAGGGAACAUAUUUCCCCCAGAAGUUCUAUUAUAGUUAAGGAUAUUUUUUGUUAUCCUGAGCUUUAGUUUUUCCAAAUGAAUUUGCAAAUUGCUAUUCAAACUUUUUGAAGAAUUAAUUUGAAAUUUUGUUGGGAUUGCAUCAAAUCUGUAGAUUGCUCUUGGCAAGAUGGCCAUUUUAACAAUAUCAAUCCUGCCAAUCGAGAGCAUGGAGGAUCUUUCCAUCUUCUGAGAUCUUCAUUAAUAUCUUUCUACAUAAACUGGAAGUUCAUUUCCUACAGAUUUUCACUUGCUUGGUUAGAGUCACACCAAGAUAUUUAAGAUAUUUGUGACAAUUAUGUGUCACUUACAUUAUUUCUUUCUCAACCUAUUUAUCCUUUGAGUAGAGGAACGCUAUUGAUUUCUUUUAGUUAAUAUUAUAUCCAACCAUAUUGCUGAAGUUGAUUAUCAGGUUUGUAGUUCUCUGUUGGAAAUUUUGGGUCACUUAAGUAUCCUAUUAUUGCAUCAACAAAUUGUGAUAUUUUGCCUUGUUCCUUUCUGAUAUAUAUCCAUUUGACCUCCCUUUGUUGUAACUGUAUAAUUGGGUAAUUGUGGCUUCAUAGAAGGGGUUGGGUAGUAUUCCUUCUGCUUCUCUUUUCUGGAUUAUAUUGGACAGUAUUGGUGUUAUGUCUUCUUUGAAGGUCUGGUUGACUUCUGCACUACUCCCUUCUGGUCCUGGGUGAUUUUUGUUUGGGAGACUUUUAAUAAAUGCAUUUAUUUCUUUAGGAGUUAUGGGAUUUUUUCAAAGGAUUAAUUUGUAAUAGAAAUUGAUGGUUUUUUUUAAUUUUCUCAUUUCUUGUUCUUAUGUCUCCCUUUUCAUUUCUGAUUUUGUGAAUAGGGAUAUUCUCAGUGUGCCCCCUAGUUAGUCUGGGUAAGGGUUUAUACAUUUUGCUGAUUUUCUCAAAGAACCAGCUCAUGGUUUUGUUGUUUCUUUCUGUAGCUCUUUUUGCUUCUACUUGGUUGACUUCAGCCCUGAGUUUGAUUAUUUCCAGCCAUGUGCUCCACUUGGGUGUAUUUGCUUCUUUUUGUUCCAGCUUUUUACACGUGAGACAAACACUAGUGUAUGCUCCCUCCAAUUUCUUUUUCACUCAAAGCUAUGAGUUUUCCUUUUAGCACCACUUUCACUGUGUUCCAUAACUUUGGGUAUGCUUUGCCUUCAUUUUCAUUAAAUUCUAAGAAGCAUUUAAUAUCCUUCUUUAUUUUUUCCUUGUCCAAGUUAUCAUUGAGUAGAACGGUCUUCAGCUGCCAUGUGCAUGUGUGUUUUCUUUGAUGUCAUUGAAGACCAGCCUUAGUCCAUGGUGAUCUGAUAGAAUGCCUGGGAGUAUUUCAAUAGCCUUGCAUUUGCUGAGGCCUGUUUUGUGACCAAGUAUAUGGUCAAUUUUGGAGAAGGUAAUAUGAGGAGCUGAGAAGAAGGUAUAUUCUUUUGUUUUAGGAUGAAACAUUCCACAGAUAUCUCUUAAAUCCGUUUGUUUCAUAACAUGUUAUUUUCAUUAUAUCUCUUUUUAGUUUCUGUUUCCAUGAUCUGUCCAUUGAUGAGAGAGGGAUAUUGAAGUUUCCCACUAUUAUUGUGUGAGACAAAAUGUGUGCUUUGAGGUUUAUUAAGGUAUCUUUUAUGAAUGUAGGUUCCCUUGUAUUUGUAGCGUAGAUAUUUAGGAUUAAGAGUUUUGGUGGAUUUUUCAUUUGAUGAGUAUGAAGUGUCAUUCCUUAUCUUUUUUGGUAUCUUUUGGUUGAAAAUCAAUUUUAUUCGAUUGUGAUUGUUUCAUGAAAAUAACUUUCUUAUUAUUUCUAGAGUGUAGUUUCCCUCCUUAUGUUGGAGUCUUCCAUGUAUUAUCUUUUGUAGGGCUGGAUUUGUGGAACAAUACUGUGUAAAUUUCUUUUUGUCACAGCAUAUCUUGGUUUCUCCGUCUACUAGGUUUCUGUGUCCAAAGGAUUCUAGGUGGGUCCCUCAGAGCAGAAGUGGUGGUCUUCCCUCAGGUUUCAGGUGUGUCAGAAUUCUAGGAGACCAGCUUUCUGAUAACAAAAGUAUCCUGUCCCAGACUGCAGCUAGAUCACUAUGUCCAGAAGGUUCUAUACAGGUUCAACUUUGGCCAAUAAUGUGAGCAGAAUUGGUGGGCUCCCAAGUGUUCAAGAUUGUCUGCACUUCUGAGAGUCCUAAUCUACACCUAAGGGAAUUGGAUAAAGAGAGGUAUGACACUGGGUCAGUUCCAGGUGCAGGCAGAAACCCCUUUAUAAGUCUCUUUUCUCCUACAUUUAAGGAGAAAGAGGAGAUCUUAUUUUCAUUUAUUAAUUAUACAUAUAUGUUGGAACUAUUUGGAAAUAUAUGUGUGUAAUGAUUUGAUACUUUUGAAGCACUGUUAUCAUUUACAUUUUCCAGAACAUUUAUUAUGUCUUUAUGCUGAUAAACUUCAAUUUAAAGACAUAGGGUGAGGGUUGGGGGUUUAGCUCAGUGGUAGAGCGCUUGCCUAGCAAGCACAAGGCCCUGGGUUCGGUCCCCAGCUCCGAAAAAAAAAAUAAAGACUUAGGGUGCCCAAAGAUCAAACCUCUAAAUACAGUCAGGAGGAAGGAAGAAUAGAUGAUGAGUAGUAAGAAGGAAGAGAGACAGCCCACGACUUCUAAUCAUAAAACCAUGGAUGAUGAUGUAUUUCCACUAGGAAGACUAUAUCACCAAAACCACACCUAACAUAUCCACCACUUAGGAACCUAGUGUUCAAAUACUAGAAUCUAUGAGGAACAUUUCUAAUUCAAUUUAACAGAGAUACACCCUUGUCUGUAUUAUUUGCCAAUCUACUUCAACCACUCUUAUAUUCUCCAGAUAUAUGCCAUGGUCUUUGCCAUCCCAUUAACCAAACUAAAUGCUGAAUGGCAAAUGGCCAGGCAAGUAAUGCUGGCCCACAGUUUAAUUUGGUACAGGAAAUAAAUGAACAGUGUACAUUACAGCAUACAUAAUUGCCUACCCAUUGGGAAACAAAAUUUUUAAAGAAAAUUUAAAGAACAUAUUUUUCAGCAAGUAAUAUUUUCUUAUUGUAUCUCUGACUAAUAUAUUCUUAGAAUGUAGAUGUGGCUAGUCUGUAGUCACACAGUUUUUACUCUGUCUUCCUUAUUCUGGUAUUAUCUCUUCUAUUAUUUGGAAUUCUGUCUGCCUGGUCAAGUCCCUGGUGCCCUAUUGCUUACUUAGGAAUUUCAUGAAGUUCUGUUUGCUGCUAGUCUUCCUCCACUAACUGACUAGUCCUCUUAAUAUUUCAUGGGGGCAUUAAAUAAUAACUUCUAUAUUCUGGGUCAUUAUGCUAAUGUCAUUACCCCUCAUGCGUUCCACUACCUGAUCCUUUUGGGGAUCUUCUAUUGCACCGACCAAGUGGAUAUAAUGAUUUUUACAAUUGAGAGACUCAUUUACACACAAACAGAUUUUGUCUCAAAGAGGAAGGUUUGUAUAUCCUUAGUUUCCUAAUUCCUGCAACAUUCAGAGUACCUACAUCCAAUCCAAAGCCACAUGAUAUCACAAGGCCAGAUUUAAGAGAUUCUUUUGUUUUUAUUUAGAAACCCUCCCAUUGGGGUAUUGUGAUAAGGCCUAGAUUUAAUCUAAUCAAGUAGCCUAAGGAGGUAAAUCUUCUUUACUCAAAGGCCACAUUCAUCUACAGUGCAAGUUAUAGACCACCCAAAUCUUGCAGUCUCAGAGCUAUAAGAAAAGUAUCAACUAGAAAUCUUCAUCACUUUAAGCAAUUAUAAUAUUUAUUAUUCAUUAAUUAUUUUAGUUUCCUCUAUUGUUUCAUUAUUAGGGUCCCUGACUGUAUUAUGAGCCAUAUAUUUUCUCUUUAUCUAUAGUAACUCUUGAACCUGAGCAACAAAAAUGUUUUCACUUCUAACACCAUGUAUACCUUUUCCUGUAUGAUUCUUUUCAUGGCUUGCAAAUUUUUGGUCUCAAAAUAGUGGUCUUUAUAAAAGUUAAAAUUUUUACUCUCUUUUCCUUGUGUACUGAGAGGUAUAAAAAUGGCAGAUGGAGGUUUGGUGAAGAUCCUUUCCCAAUCUGUAGUCUUUUGUUUAGUCUUAUUAACAGUGUUCUAGACAUUAAAAAAGCUCUGCAGUUUCAUGAGGUUCCAGUUAUCAAUUUUUGUUCUUAGAACCAGAGCCGUUGGUGUUCUUUUAGGAAACUGUGUCCUGCAUCUGUGCAUUCAAGAAUAUUUUAAUCCAUCUUGUUUUAUUAUAUCCAGUUGGACUUAAGUUUUAUGCUUAAGAAUGGAACUAUUUCCAUUCUUCAACCUGUAGUCAUCAGAUAGACUAGCACCAUUUGUUGAAGAUGUUUGUUUGUUUUUUUUUUUUAAUAUGGCUUUGGUUUCUUUGUCAAAAAAUGUCCAUAGGUAUGGAAGGGUAUGGAAGAUUAUUUCUGGGGUUUUGAUUCCAAUAAACUGAUCAACCUGUCUUUUUCUGUACAAAUACCAUAUAGUUUCUAUCACUAUUGCUCUGCAGUACGGCUUGAGGCCAGUACUUGUGAUUGUGUCUGAAGUUAUCUUAUCGUUCAGGACUGUUUUGUCUAUCUGAAUUUAAUAUUUUUCCACAUGAAAUAGAAAACAGUGCUAGAGAUUUUUAUAUAUUUUUAAUAUACAGGCUCAUUGUAUAGUCAAAUCUCUCCAAAAAUGGCUUUCUUAUUAGUCAAUAGGUUUCAUAUAAAUGCUUAAAAUGCCACUUACAUUUUAUGGCUUUAUUUUUAUAGAUAUAUUUAAUAAUUUUACCCUAUUCUUAUGAUAUCAAACGUCCCGUGUAAAAGUUCUAUCUUUUGUCCAUGACUUAAAAUUUACUACCUACUUUCUCCUCUUUUACAUUGAAGUCAUCGGGUCUUAUGCUACAAUCUUUGAAACACAUUUGCAGUUGAGAAUUGGAGGGCAAUUAAUAAGUAUCUAAUUUCAUUAUUUUAUCUGUAGCUAUACCCAUUGAUCAGAAUCAUUUAUUAAUUUUUUUUAAAUUUUAUUAAACAAACAGCUAUCACUUUGGGAUUAUAUGUAAGUCCUCAUUUCUAAUCAAUUGAUUCAUGUACUAACUUUCCUGACAUGUUGUGUAGAUUUUUCACUUCAGCUGUAUAGCACAAUGUGAUAUCUGGGAUCCUGAUAAUUCAUUCUGAUCUAUUAUGCCUGGUUUUUAUUGUGUUGUUGUUGUUGUUUUUUUUCUUUUUCUGUUUGUUUUUGGCCAAGUGAAACUUCUUGUUCCCAUAUGAAAUUACAAUUACAUUUUUAAUUGUGUAUGAAAAACUUUGAUUGGAGAUUACAUUGGAUGUGUGAAUUGCUCUUGGAAGAAUGCCAUUUGUAAAGUAAUAUCUCUGUUAUCUCAUAACCAUGGAGGAAUUUUAUCCUGAAAUUUCUUUGACAUUUUUACUUUCUUAAACCGUCAGUGAACCCUUUUACGUUUUGGAUGUGUGUGUGUUCAUGUGUGGGUGUGUAUGCAUGUGUGCUUGCAUGGCAUGUGUGUGAAUGGCAUGUUUUUCUAUGAUUUCUUAAAUAGUAACUUUGUUAUACAUGAAACUUACUGAAUUUUUUUGUGCUAAAUUUUUAUCCUGUCACCUUUGCGGGGUCCAUCAAUAGCAAUAGGUUUCUGCUUUAAAAUUAACGAAAUUAACAUAUAAAACAAGAUAUUAUUCAAAUGAACAUAUUUAACCACUGAUAUUCCUUUUUUGUUACAUUUUUCUCCUUCACUCUUUCCCUUACAUUGACUCCUAAUAAGGUAAUAAGUAGGCAAAAGAAUGAACACCCUUGUCUUGUUCCAAAAUGUUAUUAAUAUUUGUUACCAUAUAUAUAAUUCUGGCUCUGACCUUGUCAUAUUUUGUCUCUCUUAAUUCAAAAUAUGUUCUCUGUGUCCUUACCAGUGACUGAAUUUCUAAGGAAAAGUGACCCUUGCUCAUCCAGCAGUCAUCAGUGCGAAGGGAGCCCAGGUAUGUGACUGAACAACAGAUGAGUACACAUUUGGAGUGUUUUGCUAGCAAUUGAAUAAUACUCUCUAUUAGUAUUCAAUAUAGCUAACAGAAAUAAUUUUCUGGUUAGUUAAUGCUUGCUUUUUUAUGUCCAGCAGAUGAAAUAUAUGAUACCUUCAACAAUGUCAUCCUAUUUUUAGGAGGAACAGAAAAGAAUUGUACUUGCCUAUUAUUUUUACAUAUUUUUUUUGGUUACUGUGAGCAAUAAAUCCUACAGAAAUAAUCUUUGUCUUUCAAUGAAAUUUGUAUUUAUUAAGACAUAUAGUUUUGCUCUUUACUCUCUGAUUCAUUACAUCAGGUGUAAGUCUUUGUUCUUCUGAAAGUAUCCACAACACUCUAUGUAAUCUUGAUUUCUUAUAAUUCUAACAUUUAGAUUGCAGAAUUGUCACAAAUAAUACUUAAUACAUUAGUAAAAGAAAUAUAUUCCUUGGAGUAUAAAAGUGUCUAUUUCAUCUUAAAAAUCUGAAGUCACACACUAUCACGGAGUGAAGACAAGACAUUAACUCAAGGCAGGGAAUGGAAGCAGGGACUUAGGCAGAAUCCAUGCUACUGCUUACCAGUUUGCUCCCUGUGGGUAGUUCAGAAUGAUUCCUUAUGCACACCAAUAAACCCUAACCAGGUAAAGGGCCACACAAAGAGGGCUGGGUCCUCUCAUAUCAAUCAACAAUUAUGAAAAUGACCUACAGAUAUUUUAAUCAGGUUACCUGGUAGACACAGUUCAACUGAUGUUCUCUAAUUACAGAAAACUCAACUUGAGUAAAGUUGAGAAAAAAUCCGGAAUAAAAUGAACAGAUAAUGUACCAAACACAUAUUUUAUAUAUUACACAAUGUAUGUACGUAAUUGCUAUACAUUUUUGACCAGUGGAUCAGAAUUCAAAGUCCAGAAAGAAAGCACAAUUCAAUGAGCAGUUGAUUUUAAACACACAUAAAACACAACAGUCUAAUGGUUCUCAACUUUCAUUUUAUUUAUUUAUUUAUUUAUUUAUUUAUUUUCUUGAAUAUUUUUAUUUGCAUUUCAAAUGUUAUUCCCUUUUGAAGUUUCCUGGAUAUAACCCCUCCUAUCCCUUACCCCAGACCAUUCUUCUAUGAGGGUGUUCCCCACCAAACCAUCCAUUCAUUCUCACUGCCCUGCCCUGACAUUCCCCUACACUGAGGGCUCCAGCCAUGGCAGCACCAAGGGAUUUUCCACCCAUUGGUGCCCAACAAAACCAUCCUCUACUACAUAGGCAACUGGGGACAUGGGUCUUUCCAUGUGUACUCUUCUGAUGGUGAGUUACUGUUUGGGAGUUCUGGUUGGUUAGUAUUGUUGUUCUUAUGGGGUUGCAAAACCCUUAAGCUUCUAUCUCUUCCAAUGGGGACCCCAUUCUCAUUUCAGUGGUUAGCUGCAAGGAAUUGCCUCUGAAUUCACCAUCCUUUGUCAUAGCAUCUCAGGAUAUAACUAUAGCUGGCUCCCCUCAGCAUGCACUUCUUGGCAUAAGCAAUACUGGUUGGAUUUGGCAGCUAUAUGUAUAUGGGCUGAAUCCUUAGGUGGAACAGGCUGUGAAUGGCCAUUUCUUCAGUCUCUGCUCCAAACUUUGUCUCUACAUCUCCUGUGAAUAUUCUUGUUCCCCCAUUUAAGAAGGACUGAAGCAUCCACAUUUUGACCAUCCUUCUUCUUGAGCUUUAUGUGGUAUUUUAUAUGACAACAUAUUUAAUUGGCCCAUUUCCAUUAACAAUAUUUAAUAAUUAAAUGCACAGAAGGCAAGUACCACAUCAACCUAGUAAUAUAUUUGCCUUUUUUGUCUACUGUUCAUGAUUUUUUUCCAAGAAGAUCAAAUAUGGGUGAAUGCCUUAACAUUUUGUGAUGCAUAUUAAUUAUUUACUUCAAAUGAUCUAUAUGAUCUAAUUUAAGAUUUCUUUUUGAAAAUCAUUUAACUAAGUUAACAGUUUCUUACUUUUUUUUUACUUUCAAAAGCUUGUAGGUUAUAAUGUAGGUCCACAAGGGUUCUCAAAGUGAAAUAAAUAUGCAAGUAAAAAUUUUACCUGCUUUUAUUUUAACAGCAGCCGGAAAAACUUCUUACAAUACUUUAUAAAAUUGUGCCUUGAUACAUCGCAAUUAUUUUGAAAUCUACUGUGCCUCCUACAUGGAAGAAAAGCAUGAGUAAUAUUGCCAAACUCCUAAAAUAGAAAGAAGUUGCACAGAGAACAGGAGAUUGUGCUGUCACAAAGAACUCUGUGGGAGAGUCUGUUUAUUCCAAUCUUUGUGGAUGAAAUUUUUCUUUUGAAGAAUUCGAUUCGUUGGCUGAGGAGAGAAUUCAAUGGAUGUCCCAUUGGUAAUGCACUGAAUUUAAACUACUGUGAUUCUCAGGCAAGCAUGAUUCAAUGCAUUCGACCAUUUCCUAAGUCCAAAACAAUGGCAUGAAGAAUUUACAGUUUUGCUUUGUUUUGUUUGUUUUUUUUCACGAACAUACUGUAUACCUGGUGAGGAGGUGUAUGGAAAUUCGGAGAUUUUUUUGAAUAAUAACUUUAUUCAACAUGCUAACAAACAUUAGUUAAAAAAGCAAAAACUAUUUUGCCAUCAGAUUUCAUAGGUAUCUCUUGAUUCUACUUUCUCUUCAUCAUAUUUUCGAUGCCUUGUGAGAAAUGUCUUCUCAAAAGAUUUAUUUCCUCUACUGGCUAACAUUUUCAAAAUCUACUGAUCCUUGAGAAUUAUCUUGUUUAAUAUCGCUCUCCCUUUUCCCCCUCUCCCCCUCUCUCCUUAUUACUGCUUCAUCACACUAAAUAUAAAAACAGAAAUUAAGUGGAGCACAUUGUAUUUUACAUUCAGUCUUGUAGCCAGAAUCCUCCACAAUUUCCCUUUAAUGUGAGGGCAACUAAAGUGAAGAAUACCCUACCUUGGAUGGGUAAUAUAAUCCCUGGCCAUCUGAGUUCAAACAGUCAAUCAAUUGUGAUAAAGAAGAGACCAGCAUCAUAGAUGUGAAGUCUCUGGAAAGUCAUGCCUCAGGGUCAGCAUGCAGAAACGGUGUUCCAAAAAUGAUGAGGUCAUAACUCUUUUACUCACUAGGAACUAGAUUCACCCAAGAGACACUGGUUAUGAAGGCAUCAAGACAUCAUGGACAACAGCUGACAAUUGUCACUGUGUAGAAGGGAUGGGUCCCCUGAUACAGACCAAAUGUGUCUACAGGAUAAAUUGCAGCCCAGUUGCAGCAAGGUACCCCACUUUAACGGGGAUGCAGUUAGCAGAUGAUGACCAGCAAGGUCAGUAGCAUCCAUGGUGUGGAGUCAGCCAUAGCCUUGAAUAACUGUACAUAUAAAGCAAAGGGCAGAGCUAGGAGAGUUUCCCAGACCCUUUAAAAAAUACCAGAAAAUAGUCAGUGGAUCACAGGUAUAAAGAUGUUGAGUUAUUAACACCAUUGCGGUUUGAUUUUUGCUCUGGUUACAUCAUUGCUUGCUUCUUCUUUCUUGAGGUAAGAAUGUAUAUUUUUGUUAUUUUGUGUUUUUUUUUUUUGGUUUUUUGGAGCUGAGAACCUAACCCAGGGCCUUGUGCUUGCUAGGCAAGCACUCUACCACUGAGCUAAAUCCCCAACCCUAGAAUGUACAUUUUUAAAAUGAGACUUUGGAGUUUUAUUGAGAAUUAGGAUUGUGAAAGACUUGGUAAUGGAAAUGUUGUGGGACUUUUAAGUCCCAGGACAGAUAUGCUUGAUAUUCAACCUUUGCUAUUAUACUUGCCUAACAUAAACAGAUUUGAAUUUGACCUUCAUCACAAAUGCAGAUAUAAUAUACACACAAGGAACAGCAGCACCCAGGAGGUAGAGGCAACAAAUACGAAGCUACAGGUCAUCCAAAGCAUUUAUCAGUGGCCACAUUUCAAAGGAAAAAGGACACUUGCUACACUAGUAGACCUCUAUGUCAGUAAGAAUGUGUGCAGGAAGUAUGAAUAAACUUUCCGAUCAAUGAACACUAUCUAGAAAGGGGUGAUUUCUCCAGUCAGUCACCAGCUUACCUUCUUCAUGCUCAAUGAGAUAAGAAGUAUGAAUAAAUUUUCCAAUCCAUGAACACUCUCUAGAACUAUCUAGUGAAUAUUCCAGUUAGUUACCAACUUAACUUCUUCAUGUUCAGUGAGAUAGGAAGUAUGAAUAAAUUUUCCAAUCCAUGAACACUAUCUAGAAGGGGGAAUAUUCCCAGUUAGUCACCAACUGAAACGUCUUCAUGUGCAAUGAGGAUUUAGAGAGUCAUCCCAAAGAUAAAACCUAUACUACUUGGGACAUCUAAAGUAUGCUCUUCUUCAGAGUCGUUGAAAGAAUGAUGCAGUACCCUGUUUUUUGCCACAUCAUAUUACACACAAGUCAUCACAAUUGUUAAAGAGCAAUGAGAAUCCUCUGAGUCUUCCUGAGAGAAAUAAUAGAUGUUGCACUCCAAUUUAUAUAACUAGUAUGAAUUCAUUAGUUGAAGUCUUCAAGUUGUGAAAGUGGCAGCACACAGCCAGCAAGGAUGGGACAGUAUUUCUGGCAACAGUAAUCAAAGUACCCUCCACGGAAACUAAGACCCUAUUGCAUCGAUGUGAGCCAGUCAGUAGACCUUUGACAGAAAAUAAGGCUGAGCCCUGGCAGCAGGCAAGGAAAUUGCACCAUCUCUCAUAGUGGCCAUUGUACCGCUCCAGGUAGUGCUCAGACGUCAGCAUGAAGACAAGCCCAUCCCACCCCAGACUAUUUUGAAGAAUGGAUUUAGAAUGGAAAUAAUUCGAAAAAAAAUGCUUUCUAGACAAUACGGAGGAAUCGUUUUCCUUUCAGUACACUCAACAAUAACUAAGAUACAAUUGCGGAUUGUUGCUCCAAUCAGUAGAUCUGCUAAAGGAAGAAGUAUGAAUAAAUUUUCCAAUCCAUGAACACUAUUUAGAAGGGUGAAUAUUCACAGUUAGUCACCAACUGAAACGUCUUCAAGUGCAAUGAGUACUCUCCACGGAAACUAAGAUCCUAUUGCAUCGAUGUGAGCCAGUCAGUAGACCUUUGACAGAAAAAUUGGAAGGCUCACCUGUGAUACUGAUCUUGAAGAUGAAAGAUCCAAGUUUCUGGCCUAGUUCUUGGCAUGGAGAUCUGGAAGCAUAGUAAGACAAGGAGAUCUCGCUGUUCAACGUCAUCUGGGACAAAGCAAGUCUCAGAUCAAGGGAGACUGAGUUCUGAGGCCCGGUCAGGGCAAUUCUGGAGACUGGCGAAUAGAGGAAUGUCCUACUCCUCAAAACAUGGGGAAGUAUGAAUAAAUUUUCCAAUCCAUGAACACUGUCGAGAAGGAGUGAAUGCUCCAGUUAGUCAUCAACUUUAAUUCUUCAUGUUCAAUGAGAUAGGAAGUAUGAAUAAAUUUUCCAAUCCAUGAACACUAUCUACAAGGGUGAAUAUUCCAGUUAGUCACCAACUGAAACAUCUUCAUGUUCAAUGAGAUAGGAUUUACAGAGUCAUCUCCAAGAUAAAACCUAUACUAGUUGGGACAUCUAACGUAUGCUCUUCUUCAGAGUCGUUGAAAGAAUGAUGCAGUACCCUGUUUUCUGCCACAUCAGGAUAUACACAAGUCAUCACAAUUGUUAAAGAUCAAUGAGAAUCCUCUGAGGCUGCCUGACUGAAAUAAUGGAUGUUGCACUCCAAUUUAUAUAACUAAUAUGACUUUAUUAGUUGAAAUCUUGAAGCUGUGAAAGUGGCAACACACAGCCAGCAAGGAUUGGGGCAGUAUUUCUGGCAACAGUAAUUGAAGGGUCACUCUAAUUUUGCCUCAAGAAAUUAAUUUUGUUCAGUCUUUGGAAACAACAAUGGUUUUCACUGAAGCAUACUGAAGUAUGAAUAAAUUUUCCAACCCAAGAACACUAUCUAGAAUGGUGAAUAUUCCCAGUUAGUCACCAACUGAAACGUCUUCAUGUUCCAUGAGAUAGUAUUUAGAGAGUCAUCCCAAAGACAAAACGUAUACUACUUGGGACAUCUAAAGUAUGCUCUUCUUCAGAAUCACUGAAAGAAUGAUGCAGUACCCUGUUUUCUGCCACAUCAUAUUACACACGAGUCAUCACAUUUGUUAAAGAUCAAUGAGAAUCCUCUGAGGCUGCCUGAGAGAAAUAAUGAAUGUUGCACUCCAAUUUAUAUAACUAAUAGGAGUUUAUUAGUUGAAGUCUUGAAGCUGUGAAAGUGGCAGCACACAGCCAGCAAGGAUGGGGCAGUAUUUCUGGCAACCUAAUUGAAGCACUCUCCACGGAAACUAAGAUCCUGUUGCAUCGAUGUGAGCCAGUCAGUAGACCUUUGACAGAAAAUUAUGCUGAACCCUAGUAGCAGGCAAGGAAGUGGCACCAUCUCUCAUAGUAUCCAUUUCCCGCAAUCCAGUCAGUGACUGACCAGACCUCUGAGGAAGAAUGGCUCAAGAAGGAGCAGAGUGGAAUAAAAUCAUCUUGAAAGGAGGAAAGAUAAGGAACACUCUGAUAUACAGACAGGAAGUAUGAAUAAAUUUUCCAAUCCAUGAACACGAUUUAGAAGGGUGAAUAUUCCCAGUUAGUCACCAACUGAAACGUCUUCAUGUUCAAUGAGAUAGGUGAGGAGGUAUGCUGAGAUCUGUCUUAAUUGUAAGAGCCAGGAGCAUUAUGGAUAUAAGGAAAAGACCAUAUAACACUCCUCAUAACAUAAAGUGACACAAAUUCUGUAGGAAUGACUAUUUUGAAGAAUGGAUUUAGAACUGCAUUAAUUCGACAAAAACGCUUUCUAGACAAUAAGGAGGAAUCGUUUUCCUUUCGGUAACCUCUACAAUAACUAAGAUACAAUUGCGGAUUGUUGCUCCAAUCAGUAGAGCUGCUAAAGGAACUGAAGAACCAGUGAAGGACCAGUGGAGGGAAAAUGAUUAAUUACUGAUGAAGACUGGGUCAAGGAAGAUCAGAGUGAUAAGACAUCAUCUUGAAAAAAUGAAGGAUGAAAAACACGCACAGUGAUAUAGGUGGGGAGAGAUGCUAAGAUCUAUAACAAGUCUGAAGACAUAAAUUCUGGACCAUGGGAAAGGAUUGUGUCCGAGUACUCAUAACAAGUUUUAGAGUCUCUGCAGCCUGGCAACCAUGUACGCAUAUGUGAUUGGAGGGUUAUGCUAGCUCACUAGCACAGACUGGGGACAGGGGCGGUGUGAUUGCAUAAGUCGUGCAGCAGGGACUGCUCAGAGAAGAGGCAGCCAAAGAUGCCUGUCACAACCACCCUAGGACUGGUCAGCAAGGCAAUGCACCAAACAAGGAAGUAUGAAUAAAUUUUCCAAUCCAAGAACACUAUCUAGAAGUAGUGAAAAUUCCAGUUAGUCACCAACUUGACUUCUUCAUGUUCAGUGAGAUAGGAGGUAUGAAUAAAUUCUCCAAUCCAUGAACACUAUCUAGAAGGGUGAAUAUUCAGUUAGUCACCAACGGAAACCUCUUCAUGUUCAAUGAGAGAGCCCCAUGUCUGCCUCAAAACUGCUAUGCCUCUACCUUGAAGAUAAUAGACUGAACCUCUGAACCUAGUCGUUGAAAGAAUGAUGCAGUACCCUGUUUUCUGCCACACCAUAUUACACACGAGUCAUCACAAUUGUUAAAGAUCAAUGAGAAUCGUCUGAAGCUGCCUGAGAGAAAUAAUGGAUGUUGCACUCCAAUUUAUAUAACUAAUAUGAAUUUAUUAGUUGAAGUCUUGAAGCUGUGAAAGUGGCAACACACAGCCAGCAAUGAUGGGGCAGUAUUUCUGGCAACAGUAAUCAAAGUUCCCUCCAUGGAAACUAAGAUUCUAUUGCAUCUAUGGGAGCCAGUCAGUAGACCUUUGACAGAAAGUCAUCUGGGACAAAGCAAGUCCAAGAUCGAGGCAUGGUGGUACACACCUUUAAUCUAGGACACACCUUCUGCUAGAGACCUACAUAAGGACAUUGGAAGAUGGAAGAUCCUCUCCUCACCUGUCUGAGAUGUGAGACUGAGACACUGCUAGAUCCUUGGACUUCCAUUCACAGCUGCUGCUGACCAUUGUGGGGGAGUUGGACUACAGACUACUAUUUUGAAGAAUGGAUUUAGAACUGCAUUAUUUCCAAAAAGAUGAUUUCUAGACAAUACCGAGAAAUCCUUUUCUUUUCGGUACCCUCAACAAUAACUAAGAUACAAUUGCGGAUUGUUGCUCCAAUCAGUAGAUCUACUAAAGGAAGAAGUAUGAAUAAAUUUUCCAAUCCAUGAACACUAUCUAGAAGUAGUGAAUAUUCCAGUUAGUCACCAACUUGACUUCUUCAAGUUCAAUUAGAUAGACUAUUUUGAAGAAUGGAUUUAGAACUGCAUUAAUUCCAAAAAGAUGCUUUCUAUACAAGACAGAGGAAUUCUUUUCUUUUCGGUUCCCUGAACAAUAACUAUGAUACAAUUGGGGAUUGUUGCUCCAAUCAGUAGAUCUGCUAAAGAAAAUUACACUGAGCCCUAGAAGCAGGCAAGGAAAUGGCACCAUCUCUCACAGUGGUCAUUGUACCGCAAUCCACGUAAUGUUACUUGUGGCUCUGACAUGUCAUCUUGGAGAUCUUGUGCAAGAAGGAGGAAAGAACCCAGAUGCCCUUCAACAGAGGAAUGGAUACAGAAAAUGUGGUGCAUCUACACAAUGGAAUAUUACUCAGCUAUCAAAAACAAUGACUUUAUGAAAUUCACCGGCAAAUGAAUGGAACUGGAAUAUACCACCCUGAGUGAGGAGGAGUGAAGUGGAAUCUGCUCCCCUUCAUCUGUCUCUGGUUGAGAAGGAAGAGUGAUGUGGAACCUGCUCUCCUUCAUCUGUUUUUGGUGAGUUCAAGGAAGCUGCCAUGUGAAUCAGUUCGGUUUUGUGGUGAUCUUGCAGCAGCCCCUUGUUUUUUUUUUUGUUUUUGUGCACACUCUGUUUUUUUUUCUUUUUUUGUCUGUUAAUCUUUUGACUGUCUAUCUGUGUGACUGAAUGCUUUUGUCAUUUUCAGCAGACCUCUAUUUUCUGGACUCUUAUUGUUUUCUCACCAUCCCACUUGAGAUGCUUGUUGGCAGCUGUUACAGGAAAUACAGAAUCCUACUAGAGGCCAGAAAAAAUGUUCCAGACACAGAUGGAAGGCACUCACUUCUGCCUGUUGAGUUCAAUAAGCCUAAAGGUAGGGAGCACCAGGUCUACCAUCAGACUACAAUUGUGGGUCUCUGAGGGGCUGAAAAAAUGCCCCACCAAUUUGGCUAAAGUAAGUAAGAGAUGUGAAGAAAAAGUUGCAGAAACUUGAAGGGGUAAGCUAUGUCACUGAGAGAGUUAGUGUAAGUUGCAGAGAAAAUAAGGUUGAUGUGUGUUUCAUAGUCUGUGCACAUAAGUGGACAGCAUCCAGUAGCUAUAGUAUCCAGUGUUUUGUGGAUACAGGGACCCAACACUAUGCUCCUGUGCCCCAGUGGGCCAGUGUCCAUCAAAGACCUUGGGUACAGGGAACUACCGGCAAGAAACAAUACAGUGGACCUUGGUGUGGGCUGGGUAACCCACUAGUUCAUGGUCAUCUCUGACUGCCCCUAUCCCUUGCUCAUGAGAAAUUUGCUCUCCAAAAUGGCUUGCAUUGGCAGUUAUGGCUGGGUGAGGCCAUGUGUAUACAUAUCUGCAGACUGUGUAUGUAGAGCUUAAGACCUGUCUCAGUGCACCAAUACCUGAUGCUGGGAGAUGUGUGGUUUAGUGCCAUUCUGCCUGGAACACAUCGCUCUUGCCAGCUGGGCACUAACAAUUAUCACCCAAUCCAGGACUUAAAACUGUGGUAGAGUGGCUGAUGUUUUGCCUUUGAAUAAAAAGUCCCAGACGAUGGGACCACUGCUCAGCUGACAUGGACUAGAUUCUCCACUGGUUGGGGGUAAUCUGGUCACCUUGCUGCCCAAUCCUGACUUGGAGCCACCACAGCACGAGUGUCAAGCACUGGCAGAAGCCCAUGUGUGGAGGAAAGACCUCUGUGACUGACUGAUCAAACCCUGCUGAAAGCGGAGGCUACCUUGUCGACAGAUGGGAACAGUUCUCUUCAUGAAGGUCAGAGAGGAGUUGGUGCUGCCAUGGUGGACAAAACAAAUGUCAUCUGGGAUGGCUGACCCUCUAACCUCCAGGACAUCAGCGCCCCAGAUGCCUUUGUCAUCUCUUGGAUGCUCUGAUGCAGCCAGCAACUGUGAGUAUUAUUCAUUGCCCAGUACAUCAGGAGGGAAGAAUUUCAGUGGCAUGCGGUAAUAAUGAAGCAGAUCAAGUGCCUCAAGAAAUGGCUAUGCAGGAGCCUAUCCUGCUUGCAGGCCUGCAAGAGACAGCCACUGGGAACAGAGAUCUGACUAAGGGAUGGCUCCACUUAUAAUGUACAGCAGAAGAAAAGGCCUAAAUUGCUUAAAAUAAAAAAAAAAGACAAUGGCACACUUGAGGGAAAACUGUGUUCCCCAGAGAGCAAACAAAAGACUCACCUUGCCAAAUAUAUAAAUGGAUUCAUUUAGGAGAUAAGAAGCUUGUCCAAGUAGUUAAGGUAUAUGUAAUAGACUUUAAGAUUUUAGCCAGAGAGGCAAUAAAAAGUAUAAGGUUUGUCAGUAAGUGAAUGCUUAUCAAGCAAACAGGGCAAAGAGACCUAGAGAGUUUAGUGGGAAGUCAAAGUGAACUUCACUGAGAUAAAACCAGGAAAAUAUGGUCACAAAUAUCUCCUAGUGCUUGUAGAUACCUUUCCAGGAAUGGAUAGAAGCUUUCCUCACCAAGCAAGAGACGGCCCCGGUAGUCAUCAAGAAGAUACUGGAAGAAAUCUUCUCCCGGUCGGAGUGCCCAAGGUAAUCUGGUUAGACAACCCCCAACUUUCAUUGCCAAGGUAAGCUAGGGUGUGGCCAAGUAUUUUUUUUUGUGGUCCAAAAAAGGCUUUAAUAGUUUUGACAUUGCUAAAAGGCAUCAUUUAGAUGGUUCUUUUGAAUUACAGAUGAGAUCAUAUAAUCAUUGUUCCUACUACAUAUAUUCCUUCCCAUAGUGCACCUGAAUUUAAGCAUAUUUAUCCUCAAUUGUGCAUAGGCAUAAAAUGGUAAAUAGGAAAUUUUCUCUGAAAGUUCUCUGAAGAUACAGUUUACUUAACUGCAAAUGUCCUUCAAUCAGUUUAGACCUUUUGUUUUUCUACCUGAAUACAUGGAAUAUAUUUGAAUAGAAACUCUUUUAAGUUUGGUGGUUGUUAAGGGAACAAAAACCUGUUGCAUUAUUUAGAGGAGGUGUAUGUGUAGUUGUGGCCAAGUAUUUAGAGGUCGAUUGGAAAUUACAUUGUACUUACAGACCUCAAAGUUCAGGACAGGUAGAGUAAAUAAAUAAAACUCUAAAAGAGACCCUGACCAAAGUGACCAUGGAGACUGGCACAGACUGGGUGGCACUCCUUCCCUCUUGCUCUCUUCAGAGCAAGAAAUAUCCCUUCCAGAUUCAGCCUUACCCGCUUUGAGAUCUUAUAUUAUGCCUCACCUCCUCUGACUGUAUUAGAUGAUGUUAUUGAACCAACAUGUCAUACUAAUAAUGAUUUCUUGUGUCUUACUAAGUAUUUAGCAUCAGGAUUCCAAUCUGGACACUAUCUGAACCUACACACAAAGGUUAUGACUGCCUUUUAGAACUUCUAACCUAUACAGGUUGUAACCCCUGAGGUACAGUCCCAAGAAGUGUUACAAGUACUAACGUAUGCAAUGGUACAUCAUUUGCAAUAGAAAUCAAGCCUAUCCCCACACCUAUCCUGAUGGAACCCAGGGCAAAGAUGAAAUUUUUAUUUCUAAAGCACACUUCUCAAGUGAGCAUUAUAGCAACCUCCCAGUCACGUCUCUGAUAUAUCCACUUAUCUGAUGUGCAAGUCUGAAGACACAAAGGAGUGUUGAGAAUUACUUAGGGCUAUCUUAAGGCUGAGUCUAGGUGCUUCAAGGGCAGCAACAAGGACAUCUGCUGUUGCCUUGCAACACAGGCUUAUGGAGAAUUCAGAACUGCUAUUCACUUAGAUAUAGAAAGAGUAAAACAGACUUUUUAGCUAACCUCCAAGAAUCACUAACCUCCGUCUCAGAGGUAGUCCUUCAGAAUAAGAGAUUAGACCUGAUAUUAUUUAAAGAAGGAGGUCUGUGUGCUACACUAAAAGAAAGAAUGUUGCUCCUAUGUAGACCAUUCAGAAGUAAUUAAAAGACUCCAUGAGUAAACUUAGAGAAAGGUUAGACAAAAUACAGAGACAGAGAAGCACAUCAGGGAUGGUUCGAGAGCUGGUUUAGUAGAUCUCCUUAGAUGAUUACUCUGAUAUCUUCCUUUAUGGGACCCUUCUUAGUUUUGCUUCUGCUUCUCCUGAUUAUAGGUCCAUGUGUGUUAAAUAAGCUAGUUACCUUCAUUAGAAAAAGAGUGAGUGCUGUUCAGAUUUUGAUAUUACAUCAGCAAUAUCAUGUUUUACAAGGUCAAAAAAAAUCAAUAUUAUGAAGAUACUGAAAUUUAGUUCUAUGAUUAGAACUAGCCACUAGAAGAAGGGUGGAAUGAAAGGUAGAAGUUUUAAGGUUGUCUUCCCCCUUAGACAAAGGUUCAGAGUAGAAGAAAAAACCUGGUUAGGCCCUGAAAUUAUGUUCCAGGAAGCUUCUCCUAGGACCAUAGGAUGGGUAAUUGCAUCGGCCAGUUCAACAGCUUUCUCCCAGGAACUAGCUGACCAUAAAGUUACAUUAAAAUCUUAGAGAGCAAUCUUGAGAAGCAGGAAGCUUCUCCCAGGAAAUAGCAGACCAUAAAGUUAAACAAUCUUCAGAAACAGGAAGCUCCUCCUUGUGAUUUUUUCACUGGUAUUCUCGACAUUUUCCAAUGACGCCUUCCCUACUCCCUUGGGUUGUGGUUUCUUCCUUUAAAUUCCCCUUCUCUUAGCUACUGGUCGUCAAACUUCACUGCCCCUGUGUGAGAUAUGAGUCUCGACCCCAGUGCACUGGUUCUUAUCCAUAAAACUCAUGUGAUUGCAGCAAGGAUGGUCUUGUGUGAGUUCUUGGGGGGUUGCAUCAUCCCGAGACUUGAGUGAGGGCCUCCCCACUCUGGGAGUCUUUCAGAACUGUUUGGAAAGCUUUAGUUGAAAGAAGAAUUCUGGGUGUUUCUCCAUCCUCAUAGUGAGAGAGGAAGUCUGAGGAGUAAUUUGGCCACCAGACUAAGUAACUACCACAAGGAUGAUGGAGGUGGGUGCAUAUGUCUAUGUGCUCUCACACAUGCAGAGCCACAGCAAGAUUGAAAACUGUCCUACUCCUGAUGAUUUUAAGGGUUUGUACAAGUCUUGACUUCAUUCUUCUUCCAGACUUAAUCCCUCAGGGUACUCCCUUCUGGACCCCAAAACAAUUCUCUAACAUCUUCAUACUGAAGCUAACUAAGAAAAAUAAUUGGUCCAACAAAAUUAUUAAUUUCAAAUAACAGGUACAAAAGUACUGUUACUUAAGAACAAUAUUUGUUAAAUGUCAAAGGAAAUAAACUACACAAAGGAAAAAUACAUUUAAAAAAGUGAUGAAUAUUUUGCUUUUCUAUACUUCCAAUAUUUUAUAAAAUAAGAAGAAAUGUAAAUACAACAGAAAUAACAUAUUCAAUUUUGAUAAGACACAUGAUGGCACAAGUAGAGAAAUCUGUGGGUUAAUAGAACGUUUGCUACUCUCAAUUGCAAUUGUUACUUCUGUCAUUCCUACUGUGGUCUUUGGAGUUAUUCCCCCAUGAAUCAGAAUCCUGUUCUAUAUUGCAUAAAAAUAUAAUGUCAAGUACAGCAGUAUAGAAUGAUAUCCCUGUUGUUGUAAAAAUAUAGAAUAAUAAAAGUGUUGGUUGUCUUUUAUCUCGCUGGGUCCUGCACCGUGGUGCUCCAAGAUAUCUGCUAGAUAUCUUGGCAGAAACACAUCUGAAUUCCUUGGCAGCCCAGAGUCUCCUGCCACUGCACAUGCUCCUACACUCAAACCAUCACAUAAAAGAACUCACAAAACAAUAAUCUUAAACCAAAUUGAUAAGAUAUAAUUGCCCACUUAAACAUACAAAGCCUGGUACCAUUCAUCCCUUAGUAACAUAAAUAACAACCUGCAAAUACACAGAGUAGAAUCUUAACAUCACCUGCCAUGGCUUCUCUGCCUCUUCUCUCCCUCCUGUCUCUUCCUUUCCAUUCUAUUCUCCUCCUCUUCCUUCUAAAUUCUCUCCUGCCUAUCCUUUCUUCUGUGCCAAUGACAGGCCUCCUUCUAUCCUGUACCUGCCCCUUACCUAUACUUUACAAAUUCAAUGGGGAGGUGGUUCUGGUGCAGUCAUCUUAGUUCUGAGUACCUGACUAGACAGCUGUCCUUGGUACAGUGGAAUUAACAUCAAAAUACAGAUAACUUCAGGGCAAACCACAACAUAUUCCACCUGGAUCAGGAGAGUAAUUAAUAUUUAUAUGAUCCUGAAUUUUCUUACUUAAUGCCUUCUCCAACUGUAUGUACCCUGAGUUCUGACAUAUUAUCACUUUCUAAGCAAGUUGGCCUAGAGUCAAGGGGCAUAUAACAAUAUUAGAUUUUUCAAUGCACAAAAUGUGACUUUUGAUCAACAGGGGAAACAUUCAACUAAAGCUCUUGACAAAAGAAAAAGAAAAAAAAACAUUAUCUAAAUGUUUGAGAGAAUUGGGUGACUUGUAAGAACUUUUCAAUUGUUGAUAUUUGGAAUGCAAAGAUCUAGAACCAAAAUAACUUGGACUUUUAGUACACUUAUAAGCAACUUAACAUUCAAUUCUGUCUCACUUAAAAUACUUUCAAUUAGAUGGUGAAAGUUUUGGAAUGUAUUAACAGAUCACUAGCUAAAUGAAAGAAACAUAAAAAUUAAGACUAUCAUCAAGAGUUAUAGAAAAUCUAUGGUAGGUAUUUUCACAAUUUCCAUACACAUUCAGUUGAUUUAACUUGAAAUCAUAUUGUUAAACACUAGUAUAUGAUUUUUUUUUAAAAAUGUGGCUAUACAAGGCUGUUUAAUACUUUAGUGUUAGAACAUGUAUUGAAGUCACCCCAAAUCUCUGUUCCCAUCUGCUGACUUUCAAACUUGGCUAGAGUAAAUAAUCUAUUCUUUUUUUUCUCUUUUUUAUCUUUUAUUUUUCUUG